rnacentral:tRNA from 2 species
ACUUUCAAAGGACAGAAGUAAUCCUGUGGCUUUAGGAGCCAUCUCUCCU